rnacentral:lncRNA from 1 species
CCUGCAUUUUCCUUUUCUAUAACCUUGGUAAGAAAAUCUGAGCUAUCCAAAUUGGCCCAGUCUGAAAUCAAUUGUUUCACAAGCAAAUAAUACUGUGGCAACAUAUUACCAAGGCAUGACUGUAUUUUAAAGAGAUCUAUAUCAUCUCCAGACAUCAAACCUGCCUCAUCCUUCCAACACUUGUAAAAUUUCUUUACAAAAAUCAUAUUACCAAUCUCUUCCUUUGCAUCCUGCUUAUAUGCCAAAGCAGUGAAUAUAGACUGCUUAUUCUUCCAUAAUCCCAACAUUUCAGCUUCCACCUUGUUCCAAAUUUUAGCACAUCUUACUGAAGUACUAAACUCAUAAUCACCAAUUCAUUUCAAACCAUAUAACUCAUACUCCGCAUCCAAUGUAAUAUUACACGUCAUCUCACAAAACAAUAUUUUUGUAAAAACACAUAAUGGGUACCCAGCAGAUAUGCCAAUACAGAAAUCACAUUUAUGGGCACACAACUACACACUCUGUCUCCCUCCUAGGAAACACGGAUAGACACAAUAUAAAAGCAAUCUUAAACUAACACCUCCAAAUCUCCAACUAUUCUUGGCCAAAACGCUAGUAUUCAACAACUAAUAAAACAGUUAUUUGCUAGGUUAUUUGGCUGUCAUUCUUAUCAGUAUCACUAGACUGUGACAAACUGAUUCACAUAUAAUUUAAAACAAUACAGCAACAUAUAAAUUAAACCACUUUCAAGUUAAACUGCACACUUCACACAUUAUCACAAUCACCAUUUACACAGAAUAAACAGUUAACAGCUGCACUCAGAACAUAUUAUUGGAAAGUAUACCAAUUUUAGUUUAGAUUUAUUUUAGGGAUUCUUAUGUGUAUAUUUUCUUAAUUAACUUCAUUACUUUAAUCUACUAUAGUAUUGUAUAUAAAGAAAGGAUCCAUUUAUAUAGCGCGCUCAUAACUCAACUAUUUGUAUAAAACUUCC